GAUUACAGGCACCUGCCAUCAUGUUCAGUUAAUUUUUGUAUUUUAGUAGAGACGGGGUUUCACCACCUUGGCCAGGCUGGUCUUGAACUCCUGAUCUCAGGUGAUCUGCCCACCUCAGCCUCCCAAAGUGCCGGGAUUACAGGCGUGAGCCACCAUGCCCAGCCAGUUUUUUUUUUACGUGUCUGUGCCAAUCUUCUGGAAACAGAGCAGUAUAAAUUAAACAAAGGCAUUUUCAUGAGAGCAGCACUGGGGCAAGUACUCUGAGACUGGGCGGCACGGGGCAGUCAUCCUGGUCACUACCUGCUCUCGAGGGCUGUGGGCAUUUGCCAAGCUUGGGAAACCUUUUCUGGACUUGGGGUGGGGCUGAGGUGGUCUCAGACUCAGCCCUUCAACACUGUCAUCAUCCAGGACCAGUGAGGUGUGUCACCCCAUGUUGGAGGCCACUGUCUGAAAGCUGUUAGAAUGACUUUCCCGUUACCCUGAAGGAAGUAGAGUGUCCUAAAACAGGUGAACCCCUUCUUUUUUCUUUGAGAUGGAGUCUUGCUCUGUCACCCAGGGUGGAAUGCAGUGGCGUAAUCUCGGCUCACUGCAACCUCUGCCUCCCAGGUUCAAGUGAUUUUCCUGCCUCAGCCUCCUGAGUAAUUGGGAUUACAGGCAUCUGCCACCAUGCCCAGCUGAUUUUUGUAUUUUUAGUAGAGACAGGGUUUCACCACGUUGGCCAGGCUGGUCUUGAACCCCUGACCUCAGGUGAUCCACCCACCUCAGCCUCCCAAAGUGCUGGGAUUACAAACAUGAGCCACUGUGCCGGGCCUUUUGUGUAUUUUUUUUUUUUUUUGAGAUGGAUUCUUGCUCUGUCGCCAGGCUGGAGUGUAGUGGCGCAAUCUCGGCUCACUGCAACCUACGCCUCCCGGGUUCAAGUGAAUCUCCUGCCUACUCAGUCUCCUGAGUAGCUGUGAGUACAGGCGCGUACCACCAUGCCCAGCUAAUUUUUGUACUUUUAGUAGAGACAGGGUUUCAACAUGUUGGCCAGAAUGGUCUCGAUCUCUUGACCUCAUGAUCUGCCCACCUCGGCCUCCCAAAGUGCUGGGGUGAGCCACCGCGCCCGGCCUUUUGUAUUUUUUUAGUAGAGACGAGGUUUCACCAUGUUGGCCAGUCUGGUCUCAAACUCCUGACCUCAGGUGAUCUGCUCGCCUAGGCCUCCCAAAGUGCUGGGAUUACAGGCAUGAGCCGCCGUGCCUGGCUGUUUUUUCUUUUUUAAAAGAGACAGGGUCAGCCAGGCGCAGUGGCUCAUGCCUGUAAUCCUAGCACUUUGGGAGGCCGAGGCAGGCAAUUGCCUGAGCUCAGGAGUUCGAGACCAGCCUGAGCAACACGGUGAAACCCCGUCUCUACUAAAAUACAAAAAAAAUUAGCCGGGCGUAGCGGUGUGCGCCGGUAGUCCCAGCUACUCCGGAGGCUUAGGCAGGAGAAUUUCUUGAACCCGGGAGGCAGAGGUUGCAGUGAGCCGAGAUCGCACCACUGCACUCCAGCCUGGGUGACAGAGCAAGACACCGUCUCAAAAAAGAAAAAAAAGAGACAGGGUCUCACUC
rnacentral:lncRNA from 1 species